UACGGAGGGGACUAGCGUUGUUCGGAAUUACUGGCGUAAAGCGCACGUAGGCGGAUUUGUUAGUCAGGGGUGAAAUCCCAGAGCUCAACUCUGGAACUGCCUUUGAUACUGGGUGUCUUGAGUAUGGAAGAGGUGAGUGGAAUUCCGAGUGUAGAGGUGAAAUUCGUAGAUAUUCGGAGGAAACACCAGUGGGCGAAGGCGGCUC
rnacentral:rRNA from 1 species